rnacentral:rRNA from 1 species
CCUACGGGGGACAGCAGUGAGGAAUAUUGGUCAAUGGACGAGCGUCUGAACCAGCCAAGUAGCGUGAAGGAUGACUGCCCUAUGGGUUGUAAACUUCUUUUAUAAAGGAAUAAAACGAGGCACGUGUGCCUUUUUGCAUGUACUUUAUGAAUAAGGAUCGGCUAACUCCGUGCCAGCAGCCGCGGUAAUACGGAGGAUCCGAUCGUUAUCCGGAUUUAUUGGGUUUAAAGGGAGCGUAGAUGGGUUGUUAAGUCAGUUGUGAAAGUUUGCGGCUCAACCGUAAAAUUGCAAUUGAUACUGGCAGUCGUGAGUACAGUUGAGGUAGGCGGAAUUCGUGGUGUAGCGGUGAAAUGCUUAGAUAUCACGAAGAACCCCGAUUGCGAAGGCAGCUUACUAAACUGUGACUGACAUUGAUGCUCGAAAGUGUGGGUAUCAAACAGGAUUAGAUACCCUUGUAGUC